GGCCUUCCUCCCUGGUCCCGCCCUCUUCAGGCCCCGCCCCGAGCCCCGCCCAGCCUCCCGACUCACUCCGCGCCAAGCCCAGCUUGCGGUCGCGCGCGCGCUGCCGGCGCAGCUCGGCCAGGAACCUGCCGGGCACAGGGGCUCAGGGCUGCCAGUCUCGGAAGAAAGUCUCUCCCACCUGCCACUCGCUAUGGCCAGGACCCAGGGGCUCUGUGCCCCCCCCCCAUCCUCACCUAGCCAUGAUGUUGACCUCCAAGCCCCUGGGGUCAUCGAUGUAGUAGAAUUUCUCUCCAGGCUCCACCACGACCUCAAAGCUGGGCAGCACUGGGGGAGACACCGUGUCGGCAGGCAGGGGUGCAGGGCAGGGAGCGAGGGCCCCGCACCCCCCUGGCCCUGAGCUUACCAUACUCCUUCACCUCAAACUGCGCAGAGAAGACCUGCUUGGGCGAGUGCUCGUAGAAGGCCUGGAUCUUCCACUGCCCCAUGCUGGGGGAGAGGGGGAAGUGUGGCCAGGCUGAGGGGCCACACACCCCACCCCUCCUGGACAGCCUGACCUACUUGACCAGCUCCGGGAUGUUCCAAGACAAGGGCAAGAUGCCAUACUGGUUGUGGGAAGACAGGGUGUCCCGCUUUAUAGGGAUGCCAUCGGGGGUCUGCAAGGAGACACAGGGAUGAGCAUGGUGAAGGGGCCCUUCUGACACCAAGCUUAGCCUCCAGCACAAUUUGGUGCCACUAUUGACCCCCUCUCCCUCCAUCACAGCUAUAGGGCCUGCCAUUAAGAAAGUGGACUUAGCCUAGGUUCAAAUCUACAGUGUGCCACUCACAAGCUGUGUGACCUUGGACAAGUUAUUCAACCUCUCUGUGCUCCAUGUUCAUGUCUAGAAAAGAGAUGAUAAGGGCUCCUACCUCACUGGCUUGGGACUUAGUUCAUAUAAGCAGGAACUCAUUAGUGUCAGUGUAUCUCGGGACCCUGCUGAUUAGUAGCAUUUACUACCCACUUUUGUGCAGGACUCUGAGCAUUUGAUUAGAUCAAAGCCCACGUCAUGGCCGACAUUCGACUUUUGGCCUCCAAGAUCAGCAAGUUCGUGUUAUUCGACCUAUACAUAUACAAGUUCGUUAAACCUGGUUUUCUGGCUUCUGUUGGAGUUUAGGAAGUUCUGUGGAUAAUGUGCUCCUGCCUCAGCCUCCCGGAGUGCCGGGAUGACGGGCGUGCGUGCAGGAGGCCUGUGAGACUGGAACAGGGAGUAAGGAGGAGAAAGGGCGAGGGGAGGCUGGGGGAGAUUAGAAGCAGGUUGUCAGGGGCUUCGUGGGGAGUGACCCUCACUAAAGUGCUCACGCGCGCCCUCUAGUGACUGCAGGCGACACCACCGAAUUAUUUUUGUCUAGCAUUGUCACCAACUCCAGGUGGGAAACAGGCUCAGGGAGGUGAAAUGACCCUGGAUUUAUCUGAACCCGGAAUCCGUGAUCUCUGGUCUCUGCCCGCCCCUCCCCGGCUUCUCUGAGUUUUUGUUUGGGUCUCUCUGCUCUGGGGCCCCUGUCCCCGGCCUCUCGCUCGGCCUGUCCAUCCCCAAGCUCUGCCCUGAUGUCCCCAGGCCCGGUGGGCUGGUACCUCGAUGAUGACAAUGACAGUCCGGCCCACGGGCAGCAGAUCGUGGUCCACGGUGAAGAUCCGAUAGAGGACUGUGAGGAGGUGGCAGAGACAGGAAGGGUGGGUGAGCCUGGGUCCCCUGCACUGCAGGCCCCUUCGGCCGGCCCGGCCCCCCAGCCGGCCCGGCCCUACCCGUGGAGCCCGGCGUGUAGAUGGUCUUGUCCGUCUGGAUGAAGAGGUACCCGCUCUGCAGGCUGACCAGCACUACCUUCUCCAGCUGCGUGCCCCCGAAGGCCGCCUGCACGAUCACGAACUUGUGCCCCUUAUCCGACCGGAACUCCUUGCUGGACGGGAUCUGGGCCAGAGCCGGGGGUGUGGUCAGGGGGUCUGCUGGUGGCCACACCCGGCUUCCAGCCUCUGACCAGACCACUGCCCCUCCUACUCUUUCUCACUACACAG
ensembl:lncRNA